GCCAAUACGAGAUCAUUUGGUUCUAACAAAUCUAGAAGUCCACUGGAUGUUGUAAUCUUGCAUCACUGAUUCUACCACCGUAACAUUUCGAGACGAAAGACUCUAAUCCGGCUGGUGUAUAUCCUAUUAGAACUUUUACAUGCAGUCAAUUAUAACAACACAAUUUUCGUACAUAUUUUUAAAUUCAUCAGGCAUGGUAGUUUGCACAAAUUCUUUACUGGGUCAAGUGACAAAGUCUUGACCUCUGAUGACCAAGUUUAAUAAUGUAGAACUAAAUAUUUUGGAAAUAGUUUUUCUACCAACUCCAAAGAGUACUCCUAAUGCUGAAAAGUUUGCCUCAACUUCUUUGUCCGCUGUCUUUCCUCCGAUUUUUCGCACAAAAAGUUAUUUUCUUGCUUUCUCUCAUAUUC